CUGGACUGAGCCGUGCUACUGG
rnacentral:miRNA from 1 species